CAUGAUAUAACAAAUGAUUUAGUUUGGUAUCUGGAAUCCCCUGGUGAUGGAAUACAAACAUUAGCUAUAAAUCCUGAAUAUGGGUAUGUGGCAUUUUCUGAAGAUGGCUUAGAUGCUUCAAUUUUUGUCUACAAAAUCACUUCGCUAGAGAGCCCAGUUUCAACAUUCAAAAACAAUAUUGGUCUUGGAUUUAGUAGCCUAUCAUUUGCUAACAAUGCCCGAAUCAUUGCAUCUUGUACAAAUAUUCCAAAAAUUAGAUUAUCAUUAUGGGAUUUUAUUAUUGGAAAGGAGUUAUGUUUUAUUGAACUUCAAUCUCCUCUGCAUUCUUUAAUCUUUAAUCCAACUAAUUGGAAGCAGUUGUCUGGAUUAAAUAAAGAUGGAUUUUAUUUAUGGAAUAUUGACCAAGUUAACGAAAGUUUUUAUAUUGAGUAUCA
rnacentral:lncRNA from 1 species